AGCGAACGCUGGCGGCAGGCCUAACACAUGCAAGUCGAACGGAUCCUUCGGGAUUAGUGGCGGACGGGUGAGUAACACGUGGGAACGUGCCCUUUGGUUCGGAACAACUCAGGGAAACUUGAGCUAAUACCGGAUGUGCCCUUCGGGGGGAAGAUUUAUCGCCAUUGGAGCGGCCCGCGUCUGAUUAGCUAGUUGGUGAGGUAACGGCCCACCAAGGCGACGAUCAGUAGCUGGUCUGAGAGGAUGAUCAGCCACACUGGGACUGAGACACGGCCCAGACUCCUACGGGAGGCAGCAGUGGGGAAUCUUGCGCAAUGGGCGAAAGCCUGACGCAGCCAUGCCGCGUGAAUGAUGAAGGUCUUAGGAUUGUAAAAUUCUUUCAGCGGGGACGAUAAUGACGGUACCCGCAGAAGAAGCUCCGGCUAACUUCGUG
rnacentral:rRNA from 1 species